AUUUAUUCUCAGGGCGGGGCGAAAUUCCCCACCGGCGGUAAGUUGUUCUUCACUAUUGAUGAUGAAACCACAAGCCCGCGAGCGCUCGAUUCGUCGAGGUCAGCAGAUCUGGUGAGAAACCAGAGCCGACGGUUACAGUCCGGAUGAGAGAGAAUGAAA
rnacentral:ncRNA from 1 species